UACGAAGGGGGCUAGCGUUGCUCGGAAUCACUGGGCGUAAAGGGUGCGUAGGCGGGUCUUUAAGUCAGGGGUGAAAUCCUGGAGCUCAACUCCAGAACUGCCUUUGAUACUGAAGAUCUUGAGUUCGGGAGAGGUGAGUGGAAACUGCGAGUGUAGAGGUGAAAUUCGUAGAUAUUCGCAAGAACACCAGUGGCGAAGGCGGCUCACUGGCCCGAUACUGACGCUGAGGCACGAAAGCGUGGGAGCAAACAGG
rnacentral:rRNA from 1 species